CGAGCGGCGAACGGGUGAGUAACACGUGAGCAACCUGCCCCAGGCUUUGGGAUAACCCCGGGAAACCGGGGCUAAUACCGAAUAUGACCUCCGAUCGCAUGGUUGGUGGUGGAAAGUUUUUCGGCUUGGGAUGGGCUCGCGGCCUAUCAGCUUGUUGGUGGGGUGAUGGCCUACCAAGGCGACGACGGGUAGCCGGCCUGAGAGGGCGACCGGCCACACUGGGACUGAGACACGGCCCAGACUCCUACGGGAGGCAGCAGUGGGGAAUAUUGCACAAUGGGCGGAAGCCUGAUGCAGCGACGCCGCGUGAGGGAUGACGGCCUUCGGGUUGUAAACCUCUUUCAGCAGGGACGAAGCGUAAGUGACGGUACCUGCAGAAGAAGCGCCGGCCAACUACGUGCCAGCAGCCGCGGUAAGACGUAGGGCGCGAGCGUUGUCCGGAUUUAUUGGGCGUAAAGAGCUCGUAGGCGGCUUGUCGCGUCGACCGUGAAAACCUGGGGCUCAACCCCAGGCCUGCGGUCGAUACGGGCAGGCUAGAGUUCGGUAGGGGAGACUGGAAUUCCUGGUGUAGCGGUGAAAUGCGCAGAUAUCAGGAGGAACACCGGUGGCGAAGGCGGGUCUCUGGGCCGAUACUGACGCUGAGGAGCGAAAGCGUGGGGAGCGAACAGGAUUAGAUACCCUGGUAGUCCACGCUGUAAACGUUGGGCGCUA
rnacentral:rRNA from 1 species